GAUGAACGCUGGCGGCGUGCCUAAUACAUGCAAGUCGAGCGAACAGACGAGGAGCUUACUCCUCUGACGUUAGCGGCGGACGGGUGAGUAACACGUGGAUAACCUACCUAUAAGACUGGGAUAACUUCGGGAAACCGGAGCUAAUACCGGAUAAUAUAUUGAACCGCAUGGUUCAAUAGUGAAAGACGGUUUUGCUGUCACUUAUAGAUGGAUCCGCGCUGCAUUAGCUAGUUGGUAAGGUAACGGCUUACCAAGGCGACGAUGCGUAGCCGACCUGAGAGGGUGAUCGGCCACACUGGAACUGAGACACGGUCCAGACUCCUACGGGAGGCAGCAGUAGGGAAUCUUCCGCAAUGGGCGAAAGCCUGACGGAGCAACGCCGCGUGAGUGAUGAAGGUCUUCGGAUCGUAAAACUCUGUUAUUAGGGAAGAACAAAUGUGUAAGUAACUAUGCACGUCUUGACGGUACCUAAUCAGAAAGCCACGGCUAACUACGUG
rnacentral:rRNA from 1 species